UGAUUGUUUCUGCUAUUGAUAUCUGGAUCUGGCAUUUGCACAGUACGGCCACUAAUGUUGACUUGGUGAGGCACAAAAGGGAAAGCUUGAACUCUGUUAACUUCCUGCAUAUUGUUAGCUGCUUGAUUACUGAGAUGUGAAGGAACCUGUGCGCCCCUUAGACGGUCCUGUAGCAGAUUAGGGUUAUUUCCGGCCAUCUGCAUCUGCUGCAGCAUAGGAUGGUGGGCAGGGAGAUCAAACCCUGUCAGUCCACCAUUAGGGUGGUGAAAUGGAGGUCGAUUCAUAUUUCCCGCAAACUGACGACCAGGAGCUUCAUGUAAACCCAUGCUCUCUCGACCAUUGAAAAUCUGAGGAUUUAAAUGAGCAGGACCAGAAUCCAUUGGAUUAAAUAAUGGCCUCCCUUGGCUCAUUUGCAGGGGAUGAAACUGCAGAGAUGAUGGUUGAGCAAGACGAUGAUGCAAUGGCAUUUCAGACUGAUCAUAGGGAACGCUCGAUAAAGGCAGACCUUCUAGACUCAUCAAGGACCUUUCGUCACCGCCAGAAACACUACCAGUUGUCAACUCUCCUUUACCCAAAAUCCCUGCAGGCAUAACCAUUGAGACCUGGGGAUUCGAAUGAUCACGAGCACUAAAUAAGUUUUCACCUCCUUUUGGUCCAAUACCAUCAAUCAUGGAAGAAAAUAGGCCAUCAUCAAAACCAGGCAAGGAUGACUUGUGUGUCUCUGAAUCAUCAAUUAGUCCAGGACCAACUGAGUUCUUCUGAAUUGAAACUGGAGCUUGUACGGAUUGCAGCUCCUUCAUAAAAGCAGAUCCAAAGAGGGUUUCAA
rnacentral:misc_RNA from 1 species